rnacentral:lncRNA from 7 species
AAAUUUGAAUGUGCUUCUUUUCCAAACAGGACCGACAAAGGGAUUAUAUGGGCCAAUGGGUUCGUGACCCUUCCUUGUUGCCGACUGCAAUUUUGUACAUUGAUGAAUCCUCCUUACCACGAAGCAGUGAAUAAAUGGACUAGACAUUUCCUUCUGUAGGGAAACAUCCUGGUGACAAAAAGAAAGAACAGAGCAUCUCAGGAAGACAUUCAGGAAAAGCCAGCUGCAGGUACAUGAAGAGGGACAUAGCUGCCAAUUCAUUGCCUGCUGGAGCCUCUGGAGGAACCUGGGGAGUUCUGGAUGAUUCCUGCUGUGAGUUGGUCAUCUCAUGGAUGUUAUCGCUAUGUAAAUGAAGUCUUCUGCAGCCAGAAAAAGCAAGUUUCCUGUGGUCCUUCAUUCUGAAACCAUCCAUUUUCAAUAAUUUAUUCACAGGCAGUCUCUGUUGCAGUGGGUUUGCAUUUGUCACAUCACCUCAAUUUUUCUAAUGAGCUGUUAAUGAGAGGUCAAUUACUUAUGGAAAUUAGGAAAACAUUCAUUGAGGAACUGUACUGAGUAAAGUGUGCUACUUCAUAAUGUUAUGAUAUAAAUCAUUACAGCUUUAAUGAUUGUUUUACUCCUUUUUCAUGUUCGAGCUUAUUUCCUACCUUGUACAGUGGCCUUAAGAUGAUUUUGAAAUGAACUCAUGUGACUCCCC